rnacentral:tRNA from 1 species
AGCCUUGUAGCUCAGCUGGUAGAGCGUGUGAAGUACAAUCUUAGGCGGCGUCCAUACGUGGAUUCAAAUCCCACCGAGACUA